rnacentral:rRNA from 1 species
CCUACGGGUGGCAGCAGUGAGGAAUAUUGGUCAUUGGCCGAGAGGCUGAACCAGCCAAGUCGCGUGAGGGAAGACGGCCCUACGGGUUGUAAACCUCUUUUGUCGGGGAGCAAAGCGAGUCACGUGUGACUCAUUGAGAGUACCCGAAGAAAAAGCAUCGGCUAACUCCGUGCCAGCAGCCGCGGUAAUCCGGAGGAUGCGAGCGUUAUCCGGAUUUAUUGGGUUGAAAGGGUGCGCAGGCGAGGGUGCAAGUCAGCGGUAAAAUUGCGGGGCUCAACCCCGUACUGCCGUUGAAACGGAAUCCCUUGAGUGCGCGAGAAGUAUGCGGAAUGCGUGGUGUAGCGGUGAAAUGCAUAGAUAUCACGCAGAACUCCGAUUGCGAAGGCAGCAUACCGGCGCGCAACUGACGCUCAUGCACGAAAGCGUGGGUAUCGAACAGGAUUAGAUACCCUUGUAGUC